rnacentral:lncRNA from 1 species
GGCAGGAUUAUCAAGAAAGACACACAGAAAAUGUUUCCCUUUUCAGUGUAGCCCUGAAGUAUUUUGAUGAAUAAUGAGUUAGUCUUCUCGGGAAUACAUCAUUAGGUUCCAGAAAAAAAAAAAUCGUUUUCUACAGGAUGGGGAAAAGCAUAUAGCAUAAUUUUGCAAACUGCUGGAGUAAACAACAUUUAUGUGCUUCUUAAAAGCAACUGAGGCAUGAGCAAGGUCACAAACCAGAAGGACCACAGAUACAGGAUUUACUCCUCUUUACCUUUGUGUGUGAUCUGAAACCCAGGAAUAUCACCUGGCCCAGGAGAAGAACUAGGCUGCUCUACAGAAUAAUUACAGCAGUUCCAGUUGUUUCAUUUAUCUUACCAUCAAAACAAUGUGGUGCACACAAGAGGUGAUGGGGAGCAAAGGAAUAGCGGAUAGCGGAAACCUCGCAAAAUCAUCAGAUAAGCAUUUCAGUAACUAUAUUAAGGCUUGUUCGUUUAGGAUGGAAGCAAGAGCAAAUGAAAAGACUUUCAAAAGCUGUAAUUCUCUCUCUCUUUGAACAUUUGUGGAAAGAAGCAGUCAAAGCCCACUGAUACAGCUGAAGCAUUUUCUAUGGGCAGCCAUUUCCACUGUGCUCAUUCCAAGGCAAACAUAAUUGCACUGCUAAGCAGACAAAAUGCUAAGUUUCUAAGACUACACAGUUAGAUUGCUAUAUUCUCCC